rnacentral:rRNA from 1 species
UACGGGGGGGGCAAGCGUUGUCCGGAAUUAUUGGGCGUAAAGAGCUCGUAGGCGGCCUGUUGCGUCCGCUGUGAAAUCCCGGGGCUCAACCCCGGGCCUGCAGUGGAUACGGGCUGGCUAGAGGCAGGCAGGGGAGAACGGAAUUCCUGGUGUAGCGGUGAAAUGCGCAGAUAUCAGGAGGAACACCGGUGGCGAAGGCGGUUCUCUGGGCCUGUACUGACGCUGAGGAGCGAAAGCGUGGGGAGCGAACAGG